CUUUGAUUUCCAUGCAAUCCUCUUCGGAGCAGAAGAAAUCUAAUCAUGGGAUUGCUUUGAGUUUCAACCAAAAUACAGACAAUUUUACCCAUUUAAGGUUUCCAUAAAAUAUACAUAAAUAAUGUGAUUGCGGUGCUAUUCAGAUUAGCAUCAGUAUUAGAAAACCCAACCUAGAGCAGAUUUAGAUUCACGAAGAAAAAUAAAAUGAAAAAGUGUUAUUAGAGAAAAUUACCAAAGACAAAUCAGCAAAUCCUACAGUUCAAGUGGCUAAUCCUUUGUCAAAGGCCUUUAAAUGGACUACUGUGUAUAAUUUGCUCUGUUCUCCAGUAUGGUAAGCUCAGUAGUAAUUCUUUGUGCAAUUUAUCUUUAUAAUUAUCUUCCUAUGCAGUAAUUGCAGCAGAAAAAUUUGCCCAAUCAAGGGAAUGUUGAUAUUUCUGGUUGCAACUAACACAGCUGAAGACUGUCCCCACCAGCUGAUGAUCCUUGGGAGCAAAAGAUUUUCAAGGCAAUAAUUUUCCCCUGUUGUGAUUGUGAUAAUUGUAUAACCUGACUAGUUUGAAGAUGAAAAUCAAUCAAUUCCAUGAUUCUCCAACAACAGAACUGUAUCACCUGAAGUGCAAAAUAUGGACAAAUUCUUGUUCACACAACUCAAUUCCUGGCUCCAUAAGUAUUGUGAAAUCUGAAAAAGAGAUCCUUCCUUAAGAAGAAUACACGUCAUUCACAGCAAAUAUCAAAUCCUGACUGUUGAUUAGACACUGGUUCUGGUGAAACCCAAUACAUAUUACAGAAUGUCAGCAUAGGGAGCUUCAAACCAGGCACAUUGUUUGAGCUAUACAAAAUGUUUUCUGAUAGAAGGGAAAUGAGUUUAGCAUCCUCGUCAUGGCCACUAUCACGGCUAAACCAUCGCGUAUGGGUAAGUCUUUUUACUUCAGUUAUCUGUGAAAGCAUAUAGCAAGUUAGUAUCAAACACAACGAUACUGAAAAUGGACAGGUGGUUAGGAUUACCCAAAUUCACUUUAAAGUAAUACUAAUCAUCAAAAGUAAGGAAAAAAUUUCAUAACACUAAUCAUCAGAAGUAAGGAAAAAAUUGCAAGUCUUUUCCCUGUCUUCCCUAUAGAAAGUGGAAGAUGGGUGCCAUAAAACCACUUUACCUGUGCAUGUUCAUAAAUAUUCAUCCCAGUGUCAUUAGAUGGCUAAGGUUUUAUGCAACUAUCUUAUUUGAUUCUUAUCAAUUAUCAAGUUAAUUAAUAAUUAUCGAUUUCUAUCAUCAACUAGUUUCACCACCAUACAUUGCGGAGAACAUAAUGGGGGAGAAGAAAAGAAAUAACGAAUAAACCACAAAAUCCACAGUAGUGAAAGCAGAACUUCCAAUGAACUGAGCAUAAGCCAAGAAAAAUAAUUAGCAUCAAUUAAUCAUAAAAAAAAUGAUCCAGAAAUAAAUUCAAAGUACUGUAAUGGUUCAGGAGACAUAAGCUCCGGAAUACUAAAUUUACCCCGUCAACUGAAUGAACAUUGCUGCUGUCAGCUGUAUAUAUUGCACUAUCCUGAAAAAAAUACAGAUAAAGUUUUGAAUGAAAGUAAAUUAAAGAGAAUCACACCACUAGACAAAGAAUCCAUCAGUAGCAUCAUUUUAGUAAUUCAUUCUAAGUACCAAGUGAAAUCAGUUUAAGUUUCAGCUGAAUAUAUUGCAAUAUCCUGAAAAAAAUACAGAUAAAGUUUUGAAUGAAAGUAAAUUAAAGAGAAUCACACCACUAGACAAAGAAUCCAUCAGUAGCAUCAUUUUAGUAAUUCAUUCUAAGUACCAAGUGAAAUCAGUUUAAGUUUCAGCUGAAUAUAUUGCAA
rnacentral:misc_RNA from 1 species